GCAGCCUCUUGCCAGUGUCUCCUCACAACAAUGAAAAGCAGUGUGAGUGGAGCCUACUAAGUCCCUUGGCCAACAGGGAAGCCAUUUCAGAGCCAGUUUCCCAGAUUCCUUCCGGGAUGUGUCUAUAACCCACGCUGUGAGUUCUGAGGAAAGAGACUACUGAAGACAAAUCCAGGAGAGAAUCCUUCAGGACAUUUGCAGCGUUCAGAUGGGAUUCCCUUUUUCCAUCAAGGGUGGAUUUACUUGCAUAUGAUGCACCUUGUGGCUUUCUGCAGAUUAUACCUCAUCAUGGUGGCAGUGACUGCUUCUGGCUCCCUAAUUCCGCAGUUUCCACAGGCUAAGGCUACUGAGGAAAAAGGACUUGGCUUCCACCUGGGUCCUUACAGAAUACUGUUUCACACCUUCAUGGCCAUGCCUAUUACAUUGUUCAUUCCUCGUGUGUUUACAGUCUCCUCAACAUGGUGGGCACCAAAACAAAAUGUUGUAACUUCACUUCUGUGUAUGAUCCGAAGGAUACAAAGCACUUCAAGCUUUUACAUCAGGCUUUUACUUUUAAAUCACCAGAGGAGGAAAUAA
rnacentral:lncRNA from 1 species